CCAAUAGCGUAUAUUUAAGUUGUUGCAGUUAAAAAGCUCGUAGUUGAAUUUCGGGAUCAAUUUGUCGGUCGUGCCUCGGUACGUACUGGCAUUAUUGGUUUCUCCCUUCUGACGAACCACGAUGUCAUUAAUUUGGUGUCGCGGGAAAUCAGGACUGUUACUUUGAAAAAAUUAGAGUGUUUAAAGCAAGCUCACGCUUGAAUACAUUAGCAUGGAAUAAUGAAAUAGGACGUUUGAUUCUAUUUUGUUGGUUUCUAGGAUCGACGUAAUGAUUAAUAGGGAUAGUUGGGGGCAUUAGUAUUCAAUUGUCAGAGGUGAAAUUCUUGGAUUUAUUGAAGACUAACUACUGCGAAAGCAUUUGCCAAGGAUGUUUUCAUUAAUCAAGAACGAAAGUUAGGGGAUCGAAGACGAUCAGAUACCGUCGUAGUCUUAACCAUAAACUAUGCCGACUAGGGAUCGGAUGAUGUUAAUUUUUUAAUGACUCAUUCGGCGCCUUACG
rnacentral:misc_RNA from 1 species